rnacentral:rRNA from 1 species
UACGGAGGGUGCAAACGUUGCUCGGAAUCAUUGGGCGUAAAGCGCACGUAGGCGGCCUGUUAAGUCGGAUGUGAAAGCCCCGGGCUCAACCCGGGAAGUGCAUUCGAAACUGGCGGGCUUGAAUAUGGAAGAGGGUCGCGGAAUUCCCGGUGUAGAGGUGAAAUUCGUAGAUAUCGGGAGGAACACCAGUGGCGAAGGCGGCUUUCUGGCCUGUUCUUGACGCUGAGGCGCGAAAGCUAGGGGAGCAAACGGGG